CAUCCCUGUGAUGAAUUGGGUAGAUACUAAAAGUAGUGGACUGAAUUUUUUUGAGGAGACAUGAAAUCUGAGGGAUG